CUGGCCUCCGCGGGCUUGCCCCUCCCCCUCCUGCCAUCCCUCCCUUGUCUCGGCCUCUGGCUAUUGCCCCAGCGCAGUUCUCUUGCCUGGUGCGGAUAUCGCUGGGUUCCCGGCAGCACUGGCAUGUGAGGCGGUGGCGCUAAGGGACGUCCUGGUUUCUAUAGGGCCUGGAAUCUCCGCCGAGGCCGGCGAGGGAGAGGAAACGGCUAGAGAAACACAGAAAAGACAAUUUACAGAGAAAUGUUUACUAUCUCCCUUCGGAGACAUUUUUGAAAUUAAAGGGCUGUGGGUGGAAACACCAAAAAUGAGGGAGACUCCCCCCUCACCAGGAAGCCUGCCCGAGAAUGCCCAAGUAUCUCGCCACUCCCGCAGGAGGGAGCCUCGCUCUACAGGGAGACAGUUUUGUGGUUUUAAUGCGCUAAAACCCAAUCUCGGAUAUACUACUAAUAGGCGCGGCGCUCGGACUAU
rnacentral:lncRNA from 1 species